CCUACGAGUGGCAGCAGUGAGGAAUAUUUGUCAAUGGACGAGAGUCUGAACCAGCCAAGUAGCGUGAAGGAUGACUGUCCUCGGGGUUGUAAACUCCUUUUUUAUGGGAAUAAAAUGUUCCAAGUGCGGGGUUUUGUAUGUACCAUAUGAAUAUGGAUCGGCUAACACGGGGCCAGCAGCCGCGGUAAUACGGAGGAUCCGAUCGUUCUCCGGAUUUAUUGGGUUUAAAGGCAAGGUGGGUGGAUUGUAAGGUCAGUUGGGAACGUUUGCGGCUCAACCGUAAAAUUGCAGUUGAAACUGGCAGUGUUGAGUACAGUAGAGGUGAGCGGAAUUCGUGGUGUAGCGGUGAAAUGCGUAGA
rnacentral:rRNA from 1 species